rnacentral:sRNA from 1 species
ACAACUGGUGAUCGAGCAAAAUUUGCUGC